rnacentral:rRNA from 1 species
CCUACGGGAGGCUGCAGUGGGGAAUAUUGGACAAUGGGGGGAACCCUGAUCCAGCGACGCCGCGUGAGUGAAGAAGUAUCUCGGUAUGUAAAGCUCUAUCAGCAGGGAAGAAAGAAAUGACGGUACCUGAGUAAGAAGCCCCGGCUAACUACGUGCCAGCAGCCGCGGUAAUACGUAGGGGGUAAGCGUUAUCCGGAAUUACUGGGUGUAAAGGGAGCGUAGACGGUAAUGCAAGUCUGGAGUGAAAGGCAGGGGCUCAACCCCCGAACUGCUCUGGAAACUGUGUAACUGGAGUGCAGGAGAGGCAGGCGGAAUUCCUAGUGUAGCGGUGAAAUGCGUAGAUAUUAGGAGGAACACCAGUGGCGAAGGCGGCCUGCUGGACUGUAACUGACGUUGAGGCUCGAAAGCGUGGGGAGCAAACAGGAUUAGAUACCCUUGUAGUC